rfam:Stegodyphus mimosarum contig53996, whole genome shotgun sequence.
GCCUUCAUUGUGUAGUGGUUAGCACGCUCGGCGCGUAUUCGAGAGGUCCGUGGUUCGAAUCCCGGCGAGGGCA